rnacentral:lncRNA from 1 species
GCGUGAGGAGUGACAGAGGUUCUUUCGGCGAGGGCGUUGGCGCGAGGAAGAGGGCGUUGACAGAGGUUCUUCGCGCAGAAACAGAACGGUAGGAUGCAGGUUGCUGCGCACACGGCGGGGCAGCGGAAAAAGGGGGUUUUCUGCAAAACAAACAAUGGGAUUUUUUGGAGGGUAGGUAAUGGUGGGUAAUGAAUGGUUAAUAUGAAAGAAUUUGGAAUAAAUUGGGGGUAGAUAUCACAAAAAAUAAAUAGAAAUUAGGGAUAAUAAUGUUUAAUUUACAUUAUUAAUACAUAUUCGGCUAAAUAAACAGUCCAUUAUACAUAUUGUAUAAAUACCUCAUUGUCUCUCUAGCGGGACUCUAUAUAUAUAAUCUUAUUUAUUUGAUAAACAUUGUAAUUUAAAUCCUAUUAUCAAGAAUUCCAUUAACUUUAUUUUCGUGUAUCAUUUUAUGAGGAGGACGAUAAUAAGAUACUCUUACAUGUAAAUAAAUAUAAGUUUCUAUUUCAAAUGUGUAUCAAAGUUAUUUAUCAUGUUAGACAGUAAAGGAUGGUCGUCUUAUCAACAAAAAAAACUAAAUAAAAGAAUUAAAUACAUGUAAAAGAUAAAUGUGGAUUUUUUUUCAGAUGUUACAGAUAAAAAAAGUAGGUGACAGGUGUAAUUAAUUUUUAAUUAGUUAGUGUUAUUAAUUUUUUAAUAUGAAAUUAUUUUGUUAACCUUUAUUUUUAAUUUUAGUGACCAAGGUUACGAGAACCAGACCGAUUAAUAAACCGAUAAGGUGACUGAUUUACUGAUUCACCAAUUUGACCGAAAUUCGACCGAGGUUCAACCGGUUUAAUUAAAUAUUAAAUAAAGUGAUGGUUUGCAUUACAAUUGAUGAAAUUACAAAUAAUGGCAGGAGAAGGCAGUUUAUGCUAUCAAAGCUAAAGCUGUAGAUUCGUAGCAGUUGCAAAGACUUCUAAAACCACUAUAGGCCUCAACUGCAAAUGUGUAAUGCAAUUUAAAACACUAAACUAAAAAAGUAUUAUCAAUUAAAUCUUUCAUACACAACAAGGUUUGCUGCCAAGCUUUGUUAUACAAUAAAAACUAUGUGCUUCCCAUUGGCAUUUAUAAACAUGGUUGAUUCAAGAGAGUUAGUGCCUUGCUAUGUUGGAGCAUUUUCUCAUCCUCCUACCUUUUAUGCACUUUCACUCUUAAACUUUAUCUCUAAUUAAAUAGCAUUUUCACCCAUUAAUUUAUAGCAGCUCAUUUUUACUUAAUCAUUUUAGUAUGUCUUAGAACUACUAUAAAUUAGGUAUUUGAAAACUGAUUUACUGGGAUUUCAAUUAUCAGAAAAAGCAAACAAUAACCAUUAUCAUAUUGCCAUUACAAGCCUCAAUCAGAACCAUUAAUAUGAGAAAACUUUGCAACAAUUUUAUCCACAAGUCCAGUACUAGCUAGAAACUCUCCAGAUUCCAGUACUAGCUAAAAACUCCCCAGAUGAUAAGAAUAAUGAACCAACAAUAUUCCAUCUUCUCCCCCUCAAUCCUCUUCACAACAACUAAGAUAACCGCCGCACAUGAUCAAAUUCAUAAGCAUAAAAAGAUUUAAAGUUUUCAGCAAUUCACAUUUAGAAUUCAGAAUCCAAAAUUCUAUUCAACAUUACAAAAUUAACAAAAGAAAAAGCUGAAGAACUAAAGAAUUCUACGAAAAUUCAUAUAAUUAAUAAAAUAAAAAAUUAACUGAAAUAAAAAACUGAAGAACUCACUGCAGCUUCAUAUAGUUAACAAAAUAAAAAAAUUAAUUGAAAAAUUGAAGAACUCACUGCGUCAGAGAGAAGAAAAAAGGUCCAGAGUCUACGGCGGCAGAAGUGAUGCUUGGUAGGACAGAGGUGGCCGACGACAGAAGCUUUGAAGUUCAAACCAACCAGCCGACAAGGAUGAGAACAGAAUCUUCAAAUCGUGCUGCCGAUGAUAGAAGCUUCGAAGUUCAGACGAACAUACGACGACUAAGCCGAUUGAAGCUUCGAUCCGCGACGGUGGCAACUGCCGGUGGUCAUUGCCGGCGUCGAUUGGGCUAGGGAUGGUGGAGUUCCUUCUGACUUCUGCAGGUCUUCUCGUUGAAGGAAAGGGAAGUUAGGGUUGACAGAGGGCUAGGAGGCGUGGUGACUUCGUUGGGUUAGGUAGGGAUAAAAAUCAGAAAAUCAGAAGGCGGCGAGGAUGCGGUGGUCAAAUCCGUCGGUGCUAUGGCUGCGGGAUGCGGUGGCGGUGGACUGCUGGAUUGGUGGUGGUAGCUAUGCGAUGGUUCGCAGAAAAGAGAGGAGAGAUGAGUUGCUGCGAUGGUUCGCAGAGAAGAGACGAGAGAUGAGACGAAGAUGGGUGAUUUAGGGAUUAGGGUUCAGCACUCGUUAGUUUGUUUAGCCUUUUUU